rnacentral:rRNA from 1 species
AUUGAACGCUGGCGGCAUGCCUUACACAUGCAAGUCGAACGGUAACGGGUCCUUCGGGAUGCCGACGAGUGGCGAACGGGUGAGUAAUAUAUCGGAACGUGCCCAGUAGUGGGGGAUAACUGCUCGAAAGAGCAGCUAAUACCGCAUACGACCUGAGGGUGAAAGGGGGGGAUCGCAAGACCUCUCGCUAUUGGAGCGGCCGAUAUCAGAUUAGCUAGUUGGUGGGGUAAAGGCCUACCAAGGCAACGAUCUGUAGUUGGUCUGAGAGGACGACCAGCCACACUGGGACUGAGACACGGCCCAGACUCCUACGGGAGGCAGCAGUGGGGAAUUUUGGACAAUGGGCGCAAGCCUGAUCCAGCAAUGCCGCGUGCAGGAAGAAGGCCUUCGGGUUGUAAACUGCUUUUGUCAGGGAAGAAAUCUUCUGGGCUAAUACCCCGGGAGGAUGACGGUACCUGAAGAAUAAGCACCGGCUAACUACGUGCCAGCAGCCGCGGUAAUACGUAGGGUGCGAGCGUUAAUCGGAAUUACUGGGCGUAAAGCGUGCGCAGGCGGCUUUGCAAGACAGAUGUGAAAUCCCCGGGCUCAACCUGGGAGCUGCAUUUGUGACUGCAAGGCUAGAGUACGGCAGAGGGGGAUGGAAUUCCGCGUGUAGCAGUGAAAUGCGUAGAUAUGCGGAGGAACACCAAUGGCGAAGGCAAUCCCCUGGGCCUGUACUGACGCUCAUGCACGAAAGCGUGGGGAGCAAACAGGAUUAGAUACCCUGGUAGUCCACGCCCUAAACGAUGUCAACUGGUUGUUGGACGGCUUGCUGUUCAGUAACGAAGCUAACGCGUGAAGUUGACCGCCUGGGGAGUACGGCCGCAAGGUUGAAACUUAAAGGAAUUGACGGGGACCCGCACAAGCGGUGGAUGAUGUGGUUUAAUUCGAUGCAACGCGAAAAACCUUACCUACCCUUGACAUGUCAAGAAUUCUGCAGAGAUGUGGAAGUGCUCGAAAGAGAACUUGAACACAGGUGCUGCAUGGCCGUCGUCAGCUCGUGUCGUGAGAUGUUGGGUUAAGUCCCGCAACGAGCGCAACCCUUGUCAUUAGUUGCUACGCAAGAGCACUCUAAUGAGACUGCCGGUGACAAACCGGAGGAAGGUGGGGAUGACGUCAGGUCCUCAUGGCCCUUAUGGGUAGGGCUACACACGUCAUACAAUGGCCGGUACAGAGGGCUGCCAACCCGCGAGGGGGAGCCAAUCCCAGAAAACCGGUCGUAGUCCGGAUCGUAGUCUGCAACUCGACUGCGUGAAGUCGGAAUCGCUAGUAAUCGCGGAUCAGCUUGCCGCGGUGAAUACGUUCCCGGGUCU